CAUUAGCUAGUUGGUAAGGUAACGGCUUACCAAGGCGAUGAUGCAUAGCCGAGUUGAGAGACUGAUCGGCCACAAUGGAACUGAGACACGGUCCAUACUCCUACGGGAGGCAGCAGUAGGGAAUCUUCCACAAUGGGCGCAAGCCUGAUGGAGCAACACCGCGUGAGUGAAGAAGGGUUUCGGCUCGUAAAGCUCUGUUGUUGGAGAAGAACGUGCGUGAGAGUAACUGUUCACGCAGUGACGGUAUCCAACCAGAAAGUCACGGCUAACUACGUGCCAGCAGCCGCGGUAAUACGUAGGUGGCAAGCGUUAUCCGGAUUUAUUGGGCGUAAAGCGAGCGCAGGCGGUUGCUUAGGUCUGAUGUGAAAGCCUUCGGCUUAACCGAAGAAGUGCAUCGGAAACCGGGCGACUUGAGUGCAGAAGAGGACAGUGGAACUCCAUGUGUAGCGGUGGAAUGCGUAGAUAUAUGGAAGAACACCAGUGGCGAAGGCGGCUGUCUGGUCUGCAACUGACGCUGAGGCUCGAAAGCAUGGGUAGCGAACAGGAUUAGAUACCCUGGUAGUCCAUGCCGUAAACGAUGAGUGCUAGGUGUUGGAGGGUUUCCGCCCUUCAGUG
rnacentral:rRNA from 1 species